UUAGAAAAUUGAGAAGAAAUAAAUUAAGAUAGAUAAAUUAUCUUUAAAAUUAUAUAGUAGUGGCUAUGGCAGAGGCUCACCACCUACUCAAUGGCGGAGCCAGCACCUAGCUAAUUGGCUCGAUCGCUCGAGAAGAUCACGCUAGCUUCGCCAGAAUUUAGAGUUGUCGCCGGAAGCGGCCAGCCAGUGAGAAGAAGCUUGAAUCGGAGGCAACGUGGAGGCGAAGCCAAGUUGAAGAAGAAGAUACAA
rnacentral:lncRNA from 1 species